rnacentral:tRNA from 1 species
CAAGUUAUCUUAAUAGUUAGGAUUUUCAUUUACAUUGAAAAUUAAUAUUGUGCAAUUCGAUAUAACUUGA